rnacentral:rRNA from 1 species
AACGAACGCUGGCGGCAUGCCUAACACAUGCAAGUCGAACGAAACCUUCGUGUCUAGUGGCGCACGGGUGCGUAACGCGGGGGAACCUACCCGUAGGUUCGGUAUAACUCCCCGAAAGGGGUGCUAAUACCGGAUAAUGUCUUCGGACCAAAGAUUUCUCGCCUUUGGGUGGGCCCGCGUUGGAUUAGCUAGUUGGUAGGGUAAAAGCAUAGCAAGGCGACGUUGCAGGGCUGGUGGGAGAGGAGGACCAGCUGCACUGGGAAUGAGGCACGGCCUAGACUGCUACGGGGGGCAGCAGAGGGGUAUAUUGGACGAGGGGCGAAAGCCUGACACAGCAAUGUGGCGUGAGUGAGGAAGGCCUUAGGAUUGUAAAGCUCUUUUAGCCGGGAUGAUAAUGACAGUACCGGGAGAAGAAGCACCGGCUAACUCCGUG